AAUUAUACACCGCCGGGUGUCAACUAAAAAAGUACUCUUAUAAAUUCCAUUAGGCCACAGAAGGAAUUUGUAGGGGUACUUUAUUUUU
rnacentral:ncRNA from 1 species